UUUCCCUCAGGAUAGCUGGAGCUGGCGCGAGAGUUCUAUCGGGUAAAGCCAAUGAUUAGAGGCAUCGGGGGCGUAACGCCCUCGACCUAUUCUCAAACUUUAAAUAGGUAGGACGGCGCGGCUGCUUCGUUGAGCCGCGCCACGGAAUCAACAGCUCCA
rnacentral:ncRNA from 1 species